AGCACCUUUUAAUUAAGUCCCGCGAGGCUUAAAAAGGUGUGAAAACAGGCGCAUCCAGGGCCGGAGUGCACCUUCGGCCCUGCCAUGCGCCGAUCGUCACACCUUGCCUGGCCGGCAAGGUGUUUUUUUU
rfam:Geobacillus sp. CAMR12739 Contig23, whole genome shotgun sequence.